rnacentral:rRNA from 1 species
GACGGGGGGGGCAAGUGUUCUUCGGAAUGACUGGGCGUAAAGGGCGCGUAGGCGGUGCGGUAAGUCUGCAGUGAAAUCUCUGGGCUCAACUCAGAGUCUGCUGUAGAAACUGCCGUGCUUGGGUGUGGGAGAGGUGAGUGGAAUUCCACGUGUAGCGGUGAAAUGCGUAGAUAUGUGGAGGAACACCAGUGGCGAAGGCGACUCUCGUGGUCUGUAACUGACGCUGAGGCGACGAAAGCGUUGGGGAGCAAACAGG